rnacentral:tRNA from 1 species
UGACGGGUAGUGUAACGGCAGCACAGCAGACUCUGGAUCUGCUUGUCUAGGUUCAAAUCCUAGCCCGUCAGCCA